rnacentral:lncRNA from 1 species
AUGUCUUAUAUGGAUACUGUUCUUAUAGUUUCAUUUAUUAAUUUUUGAAAAUCAAGGAACCAAAUAAUUUCCUGAGAGGUUCAAAACCAGUCAUUAAACAACUCAAAUAAAAAGCCAAAAUAACUGGGGAGAGCAGAGACAAAACACAGUUGAAAAGUCAUAUUAAUUCAUUUGUUUCAUUCAUCUCUUUAUGAUUCAUUCAAAAAAUAUUUAUUAGGACCUACUCUGGGCCAGGCACUGUCCCAGAUGCUCAAGGCACAAUAGUGAAAACAUUAGUAAAAGUUCCCACCCUCCUAGGAUUUACAUUCCACUAGAGAAACAGGCAGAAAGCAAAAUAAAUUAACACAUAGUGUCAGAUGGAGAUACUCCCAUGAAAGAACUGAAGCAGGGAAAACAAGAUAAGAGACUUCAGGGAGAAAGUGCUAGUUUAGGUGGUCAGUUUUUCAGAGAUCAGAGUUAAGACUGCUCACUGACAGCUUGAGUCCUUUUUUGAGAGUCCCAGACCAAUGAAAUGAUAGAGCACUGUGCUUUGGGGAUCAUUUGUUCCUGCCUUGAGUUGAGGUUCCUUUAGGAAUUCCCACCUCAGAGCUCCCGGAUUUCAUCAGGGCUAGGUGCAGAAGCCUGGCCACACGGCUUGCACCUCUGCAGUCAUGAGCUUGUGUAUGUGAUAUAGACCCAAGAGUUGUUCCAUAAAGAUAAGACUGCAGCCAGAAGCUGCACAUAAAAUGGUUAUAUUCCUUUCAAGGCAGAAUUGCAGCAGAAAUUCUAAGUUCCCCUUUGAUUUCAUUUAAAGAAUAGCAUGUGAUGAAUACAUCUGGAUGGCAAACAUUACACAAGUGAGUUCUCAUGGGUAAACCACUUGCCGCAAAAUUAACACCUCUGGAGAGGAGGGAGGGGAAUCCCUUACAUGUAAAUUGAUAGUUCCGGUGCUGCUUUCCAUGAGUCUGUCACGCCUGCUUUGUCCUUCUUCCCACGUUCUUAUCUGACAUUACACAAUAUAGAUACCACGUACACACACACACACUCUUACAUAAGCACACAGUCACUCAUAUCCACGAAUCUGAACUGUGGCCAAAUAUCUAAUUAUUGGAAAAAUCACCAUUUGCAAAUUUGCAAAUAUGGAAAUAAUAGCCAACCUGUCAUUCUUUCCUACUUUUAUUUAGCACGGAUAGUCUUUUAUUUGCCAGAUCUUCUAUACUUGGGUUCAAGUCUACUUAAAAACUCACAGGCUAAAGCAGUUUAUGGCCUAUUCAUUGCUCUCCUUUGA